rnacentral:rRNA from 1 species
AUUGAACGCUGGCGGCAGGCCUAACACAUGCAAGUCGAGCGAGCGGCGGAAGGGUGAGGAAUGUAUGGGGACUGCCCGAUAGAGGGGGAUAACUACUGGAAAAGGGAGAUAAUACCGCAUCCUAUCGGAUAACCCAUAUGGGAGUGGUUAGUAGGUGAGGUAAUGGCUCACCUAGGCGACGAUCCCUAGCUGGUCUGAGAGGAUGAUCAGCCACACUGGGACUGAGACACGGCCCAGACUCCUACGGAGGCAGAAGUGGGGAAUAUUUAACAAUGGGCGCAAGCCUGAUGCAGCCAUGCCGCGUGUAUGAAGAAGGCCCUAGGGUUGUAAAGUACUUUCAGUCGGGAGGCGUUACCGACAGAAGAAGCACCGGCUAACUCCGUGCCAGCAGCCGCGGUAAUAC